AUGAACGCUGGCGGCGUGCUUAACACAUGCAAGUCGAACGAUUAAAGCUCACUUCGGUGAGUGUAUAGAGUGGCGAACGGGUGAGUAACACGUGGGAAACCUGCCCCUUUCUUCGGGAUAACUUCGGGAAACCGUUGCUAAUACCGGAUACUCCGGGAUGGUCGCAUGGCCGACCCGGGGAAGCUUUAUGUGGAAAGGGAUGGUCCCGCGGCCCAUUAGCUUGUUGGUGGGGUAAUGGCCUACCAAGGCGAUGAUGGGCAGCCG
rnacentral:rRNA from 1 species